rnacentral:tRNA from 1 species
GGGCCCAUAGCUCAGUUGGGAGAGCAUUUGCCUUGCAAGCAAGGGGUCGAGAGUUCGAAUCUCUUUGGGUCCACCA